rnacentral:rRNA from 1 species
UACGUAGGGGGCUAGCGUUGUCCGGAUUUAUUGGGCGUAAAGAGCGUGUAGGCGGCCAUGUAGGUCCGGUGUGAAAACUCGAGGCUUAACCUCGAGAUGUCAUCGGAAACCAUUUGGCUAGAGUCCGGAAGAGGAGAGUGGAAUUCCUGGUGUAGCGGUGAAAUGCGCAGAUAUCAGGAAGAACACCAAUGGCGAAAGCAGCUCUCUGGGACGGUACUGACGCUGAGACGCGAAAGCGUGGGAGGCGAACAGG